GCGUACUGCUUCCGGUACGGAGGGGUUGAGAGAUUCCCGCCUCCAGUCGCUCCCUCAUUGGGGCCGCUCCUCAGCGCCCGCCCCGUACGGGUGCUGUCCCACGUAUUACUCGCUUUGCGCAUGGACAGAUUCGUGGUUAAACGUUCUGCUGAGGAACCUGGGGGUGAUGGCAAGAGGCCCCGGUUAGAGGAGGCGGCGGGCGGCCUGCCCCAUCCCUCGCAGCCUAGUCAGCAGAUCCGCGCCCAAGGCCUGAGCCUCGAGUAUCGCCUCCUCUUCGGCCGGGCCGAGGCUGACGAGGUCUUCCAGCAGCUGGAAAAGGAGGUGGAGUACUUCGAAGGUGAACAGACAAAGUUGCAUGUGUUUGGCAAAUGGCAUAACAUCCCCAGGAAGCAGGUAACCUACGGAGACCCCGAGUUAACGUACACUUACUCAGGUGUCACCUUUUCUCCUAAGCCGUGGAUCCCAGUUCUCAACCGCAUCAGAGAUCGCCUUGUUUUGGAAACGGGACACACUUUUAAUUUUGUUGUUAUUAACAGGUAUAAAGACGGUGAGGACCACAUAGGUGAACAUCGAGAUGAUGAGAAGGAGCUGAUUCCACGUAGCCCUAUUGCAUCAGUGUCCUUUGGAGCCUGCAGAGACUUCGUUUUCAGGCACUGCGAUUCCAGAGGGAAGAAUGCAACACGGCACAUUAAGCCCAUCAGACUGCAGCUAGCCCAUGGCAGCCUGCUGAUGAUGAAGUACCCCACUAACGUGUACUGGUACCACAGCCUGCCCAUCCGCAAGAGAGUGCUUGCUCCAAGAAUCAACCUGACAUUUCGGAAAAUGAUGGUUGUUGACAAAAAAGCGAGAUAGCAAUGAAGCACCUGGACCAUAGACCCUGAAUACUGAAGUUUUCCUCCUCGAUAUAGCUGUCAGUUCCUCAAUCAAGCUGUGUUUGAUGAUCCAAGGCAUUAACCUAGAAGAUAGAGUGCUUGGGAAUCCAUUCUGAAAGCCAUUCCCAUCCGUGCUCCAUCCUACUGAAAUGAGGAAAGAGUAUCCAAAGUGUCCACCAGAUCUUAAGGAAUCAAGCAAUGGUAAGUGCUGAGCAAAAAUGUGAGUUGAUCCCUGUGUAACCCUGCUUAGGAGCAUGUGAAUGAGUAGCCUGCAGUCUCUUGGGGCUGUGGAAUUAACAGCAGUUUAGAAAAGCUGGAAUUGGAAAUUCUUAUCCUCUGUAUUUCUUGUGAAGAGCAGGGCUCUGCUGGGAACCUGGAUCCCAGGAAUGCACCUAGAGAAGGAGAAGUGCUGCUUCUAUCAGAUGUACUGUGUAUAUAUCUGAUAGAUUGGCCUUGAAGAAAUCAGCAAAUAUGGACAGUUACUUUUUUUAUUAAGUUCUUUUAUUGCUACUGUACAGUUACAAAAAAUACCCUGAAGUGAAAACGCAACUUCGAACAGCAGUGCGGUGCUGUGACUCUCACACUUUUUUAAAAUAAUACACAAAAUAAAACAAGAAUUAUCCAAACACAGAGAUGUCAUCCUAGAGGCCUUAUCUGAUGUUUGUAAGCUCCUGCAUUUAAUAACAACUUUUCCAUCACAAAAGCUUCUAACAAGUAACAAUAUUGGAUGAAGCCCAGUGAUUUCAAAAGGUGAAGAUGGCAAACAUCUGCAGAAGCCUUUGAGCUUGCAGUAGGCUGAGUGUCCAGCACAGGACUGGGCCUGAGGUUCUGUCACUUGCUUCCUUCCUCACACUGAGGGCUAAACUAAGGCUGCCUGCUCCUUCCCAGCAGCAAAACCUACAACAAAUGCUGACUGUUCAGCCCUCAUUUCUGCAGCCUUUGAAGAAGGUUGCAGAGUGAACCUGCAGCUGAAUGAAAGUGAGCAGGUUAACAGUGUCACGCAGUCAUGCUUCCAUUCUGAUCAAACUGACCCAACAGAAAGCAGUUCUAUGCCAAGUACUGAACGUGCAAGCUUGCAACGCUUUGGGGCUGACAAGUUUGAGACUGUUAGCCUGUGGUGUGCAUAUGUUCUGACACAGCUCCAGCAUUACUGCUUCCUGAACAAAAUUACCUGAAGAAGAACUUCACAAAACCUCUAUAAACAGCCCCUACUGAGAACAGGCUUUGCAGAAUAUACACUCUGGCUGGUGGAAAUGUUUGGAAGCUUUCAGGUCAAACUGUAGCCCUGCUGGAACGACACGCUUUACAGAGCUUCUCCUGCACUCCCAUGCUGCUCAGAACAGGGGGUUUUCCUCUCCUCUCACAUUCUGCAAGUCUGUUAGACUUUAUCUCAAUGGCCAGGACAUUUUUGGCAUUUUGCAACCCUUUUUUUUUUUCCCCUCUUGUUGUUUUUCCCUAACUCAACAUAUAAAAGUUAAAACCAUGCUACCAGUAGCCUAACUUAGACAGGGAGGCUUCUCACUAACUGGUAUCUCUGUAGAUUUAUAAAGAGUG